GACGAACGCUGGCGGCGUGCUUAACACAUGCAAGUCGAACGGAAAGGCCCUGCUUUUGUGGGGUGCUCGAGUGGCGAACGGGUGAGUAACACGUGAGUAACCUGCCCUUGACUUUGGGAUAACUUCAGGAAACUGGGGCUAAUACCGGAUAGGAGCUCCUGCUGCAUGGUGGGGGUUGGAAAGUUUCGGCGGUUGGGGAUGGACUCGCGGCUUAUCAGCUUGUUGGUGGGGUAGUGGCUUACCAAGGCUUUGACGGGUAGCCGGCCUGAGAGGGUGACCGGCCACAUUGGGACUGAGAUACGGACCAGAAGCCAACGGGAGGCAGCAGUGGGGAAUAUUGCACAAUGGGCGGAAGCCUGAUGCAGCAACGCCGCGUGCGGGAUGACGGCCUUCGGGUUGUAAACCGCUUUCGCCUGUGACGAAGCGUGAGUGACGGUAAUGGGUAAAGAAGCACCGGCUAACUACGUG
rnacentral:rRNA from 1 species